ACAGUUGAAGUACUAUUGUAUAAGCAACUUGCUUUCUCUCUUUUUUUUUUUAAGAUUUUAUUUAUUCAUGAGAGACACACAGAAAGAGGCAGAGACACAGGCAGACAGAGAAGCAGGCUCCAUGCAGGAAGCCAGGUAUGGGACUCGAUUCCGGAACUCCAGGAUCACGCCCUGAGCAGAAGGCAAAUGCUCAACCGCUGAACCACCCAGGUGUCCCAGCAACUUGCUUUCUCUAUAUUGGAUUAUUAUACAAGGCAGGGUCUGGAGGAAGUAGAAUAGAAGAUCUGAGAGAAGGUGCCUGA
rnacentral:lncRNA from 1 species